CGUGUAGGCGGAGAUGCAAGUUGGGAGUGAAAUCCCGGGGCUCAACGUGGGCAUUGCAUCUGAAACUGUUUAGCUAGAGUUCUGUAGAGGGGGGUAGAAUUCCAGGUGUAGCGGUGAAAUGCGUAGAGAUCUGGAGGAAUACCGAUUGCGAAGGCAGCCCCCUGGACAGAGACUGACGCUCAAAUGCGAAAGCGUGGGGAUCAAACAGGAUUAGAUACCCCCGUA
rnacentral:rRNA from 1 species